UACGUAGGGAGCAAGCGUUGUCCGGAAUCAUUGGGCGUAAAGCGCGCGUAGGCGGCCCUGUAAGUCCGUUGUGAAAGUCAAAGGCUCAACCUUUGAAAGCCGAUGGAUACUGCAGGGCUAGAGUCCGGAAGAGGCGAGUGGAAUUCCUGGUGUAGCGGUGGAAUGCGCAGAUAUCAGGAAGAACACCAAUGGCGAAGGCAGCUCUCUGGGACGGUACUGACGCUGAGGCGCGAAAGCGUGGGGAGCAAACAGG
rnacentral:rRNA from 1 species